GGAGGGGUGGCAGAGCGGUCGAAUGCGGCGGUCUCGAAAACCGUUUCGGGCGGUUUCGUCCGACGAGGGUUCAAAUCCCUCCCCCUCCGCCU
rnacentral:tRNA from 1 species